rnacentral:lncRNA from 1 species
CACAGUGAGGGAAAAAUACAAAAUGCAGCAUUUUCAUGCUUAGAGAAAGAAAGAGAAAACACAGGCUGACCGUACAUAGCAGGAACUGAUACUUGCUUCUUCCUUAACUAUGAGCCAUUCAUUUACAGCCAUGUGCAAAUGCCUAUGUGCAGAUGUAUGCACCUAUCCUCUUUCACAGAAAAUAUGUGCCUCACUUCUGGAACAUUAUUAGUGAAUUUAGAAUGGGAGAAAGAUGGCAGAUUAUGGUUUGAGGUGGAAAGAUCUGGAGGCACACACACAAAAAAUGAGCAUCCACCCUUCUUCCUUGAGCAACUCCCGGGUUGAAAGGUGCUUCCAGACUCAACUCAGUCAAUGGUCCUUUCUUCCAGUAUUUAAAGGAUGCUACUGCCAGGAUGUGACAAUGUACUUCAAUGGACUUUAUGGGGAACAAGAAGACAUCUUCUCACUAGGGCUACAAAGUGCAUAGAAUGCAUGUUGGAUGCUCUGUUACUGUGAAGGGAGAGUCACCCAGAUAAUAAAGCCAGCAUUGAGCUGAAAUUAUUGUAUGACUCUGGAGGAAACCUCCAAUCAGGUCAGAUGCCCUGCUCAGGAUUUCGAUGAGUGUAUAAGCAACAAUAAUGAGCUAUGUUGACUUCCAAUACACUUUCAUGUUGUUUACAUUUUAUUAAAUGGUUUAAGCAGGGUCAUCAUAUAAAUGAUCAACAUAUUGACUAAAACACUCAAGCCUUGAAGAAUUGAAGGCCACAGACAGCCAACCAGAUUGGUCACCUUGAAUUUGAGUCAAUAGCAUAAAUAUAUAUUUGGCUACAGAGUCAAAGCCCACUUUAUAUUCAUUAUUCUGAAAACCCUGCUAAAUAAACAGCUCCAAAGUGUCC